CCUACGGGAGGCAGCAGUGAGGAAUAUUGGUCAAUGGGCGGAAGCCUGAACCAGCCAAGUAGCGUGCAGGAUGACGGCCCUACGGGCUGUAAACUGCUUUUAUACGGGAAUAACGCGCCUUACGUGUAGGGCUUUGCAUGUACCGUAUGAAUAAGGACCGGCUCAUUCCGUGCCAGCAGCCGCGGUAAUACGGAAGGUCCGGGCGUUAUCCGGAUUUAUUAGGUUUAAAGGGAGCGUAGGCCGCAUGUCAAGCGUGCUGUGAAAUGUCCGGGCUCAACCCGGGCCUUGCAGCGCGAACUGGCGUGCUUGAGUCCGCGGAAAGCAGGCGGAAUUCGUCGUGUAGCGGUGAAAUGCUUAGAUAUGACGAAGAACCCCGAUUGCGAAGGCAGCUUGCUGCAGCGGAACUGACGCUGAUGCUCGAAAGCGCGGGUAUCGAACAGGAUUAGAUACCCGGGUAGUC
rnacentral:rRNA from 1 species